AAAGUACUCCCUCCGUCCCAAAAUUCUUGUCUUAGAUUUGUCUAGAUACGGAUGUAGCAUGUCACAUUUUAGUAUUAGAUACAUCCGUAUCUAGACAAAUCUAAGACAAGAAAUUUGGGACAGUGGGAGUAGUUG
rfam:Triticum aestivum genome assembly, contig: Triticum_aestivum_CS42_TGACv1_scaffold_576961_7BL